GCACCCGCACAGACCCCCCGUUUCUGGGGCCUCCAAAUCUACUUCUCAUCUAAUCUUUUGGGCCUCUGGAAAAAUAUCUAACCUAUUGGGCUUGUGAGACGCUCGGCCUGGCAACUGGCGGCCUGGCAACUGGCAACCUGGAGCAGCCCCCCGAUCUGGAACUGCCUCGUCCAGCGAUUGUGGCAAUCUUUCCCUCAAAAUCAAAAAGAAAAACAAAACAACGAUUGAUCUAUUCGAUUCACGGAGAGGAGCGAAGCGACGAGGCGUCUCUUCGUCUGUUCCUGUGUGGCACUGGUGGCCCUCGCCACGGCAGAUCCUUUUCAAGAUUCAGGAGGGUAGGAGCAGGCGAGCAGCCGAGCACGAAGGCAUACGGCAGGAACGACCGAACAACAGCCGGCAGGGAGGAAAGUCCUGGCCAAUCUCCCGAUCUCCGAGUUUUUAAGCGUCGUCUCGUCAAUAACUAGUGAUCCUGUGAGCCCUUUACUUCGAAUUUUGAUUUCCGCCAGCUAUUUCGUUCUUUUAAAGUAGUAUUAGACGAGUGCAUGUAGGGUUUUUUGUUUUCAGUUGCUGUUCUUUGGGAGUCAUGAGGAUCUUCCUAUAUUCAAGUUUGAGAACCUGACAAGCUUUUCUCUGGAUGGGUGCCGUAUCAACGACGACUUCCUCGGGCUGCGCAAAUACCUGUACAACUCGCCUAACCUGCAGAAGCUCACUUUGCGACAUUGCAAGGUCUCGGAUUUCCAAUCUACAAAGGAGGUGAUGAAAUGCCGCCAAUCAUAUUCCAAGGGCAUGGCGCGUUUCAAGUGCAACAACCUUAGGCUUACUGAAACCAUACACCGAGAUGGUGAUGCUUCUGUCGAUCCGUUUGUCAAGUUUUUCAGGGGCGUGCGGAGGAAUCUGCCAAACAACAAGAUCAAACUCAUUCCGCUCAAGAAGAAGAAAUAAAAGACUGAACUCGCUAUAGUCGAUUAGCGGAAGCGUAUGGCAAUACACUAGGUUUCCUAUCAUUUGCUGAUUUCAGGAAACUAGGUUGCACAUGUGUCAUCAUUUUUACCUUUUUAAUAAAUUCAUCAUGAGUCCUUGGCUUUAAUUGUGUCGGAUGGUUGAGAUCGUUUGGAUUUCAGCAACUCGUAACUUUUAUACUAGUGUAGACUAGGUUCUUGGUUGAAGUGGAAGUGUCACGAUCCCCUCGUCUAUAUAUAUGGAUUUAUUUUUCAUUUGGGAUGGCA